rnacentral:misc_RNA from 1 species
GAUGAAGAACGCAGCGAAAUGCGAUAAGUAAUGUGAAUUGCAGAAUUCAGUGAAUCAUCGAAUCUUUGAACGCACAUUGCGCCCCCUGGUAUUCCGGGGGGCAUGCCUGUCCGAGCGUCAUUACAACCCUCAAGCUCAGCUUGGUGUUGGGGCCUGCUGCACUGGCAGCCCUUAAAAUCAGUGGCGGCGCCAUCUGGCUCUAAGCGUAGUAAUUCUUCUCGCUAUGGAGUCCUGGUGGAUGCUUGCCAUCAACCCCCAAUUUUUCUAUGGUUGACCUCGGAUCAGGUAGGGAUACCCGCUGAACUUAAGCAUAUCAAUAAGCGGAGGA